rnacentral:lncRNA from 1 species
ACCAUUAAAAUGAUAGACUGAUCAUUUCUUUGUAAGUGGGCAAACGUACAAAAUCAGCAGGGGAUCAAAUACUUUUUUCCCCCACUGUAGAACCCUUUUCACAGAGGGUUCUACUUGGAACCCUAAAGGGUUCUACCUGGAACCAAAAUUGUUUAUUUUAUGUGGACAGCCGGAGAACCCUUUUGGAACCCUUUUUACUAAGAGUGUAGGGCCCUACUUUUGACCAGUAAUAGGGUACCAUAGCACUAACAGGCAGUGGCCAUUUCCUCAAGAUGGUGGGAUUCUUUCUGUGCUUUGUUUCACACCCAUAUUCGUCAGGACAACAGUGUGGCUAGUUAUAAGCUUAGAAAAUAGCUGACAGGUGUUAAGCAACAUCAUAGAGAUGUAACAGCAGUCCAGUCAUUCAAAUAAAAGUCACACAUCAAUCUCUAUAACGUCUACAGUUUGACAGACAAUAAAGUUGAUAGGAGUGCACUAUUUGAAAGGUUUAUUCUGAAACAGGAUGUGUGAUCCGGUCUUAAACCCUGACCACACUAGAAAUCUCUCCAUGUGAUUGCAUGAACAUCUUUUAAAAAAUGGUUUUAUGUAUACAUGUAUCUCUCUGACGCUAAUUAGACAUUUUAUUUUAAUAUAGUGAUCACUUAUUAUUCUUUUUAAAAUAUCACCAUACCCAUGUUCAUCGUUUUGAAAUAAACAUGAUGUCAAGUAAAAACACUCAUUCUGUCUUUGGAUAAAGUGCACCCAUGACAGUUAAGGUUUGGAAUGUAGGCAUCCCAUUUAUUUUGAAAUUAACUAAAUAAUUCACUCUUUCAAUAUCAGACCUUUAUUACCUCAGACCUGAUAUUGUUUGUAUUUUCCUUCAAUUCUGAGGGAGUAAUCCUGAACCAUAAUCAAAAGACUACUGUCAAGGUGCAAGUAAUAUACAGGAGAAAAGUUACAAUUCUGCUGUUUUUCCACCUUUUCAAGUUAAAUGAAUGCAAUCGAACAUUUCACCAGGGCUGGGCUCAAUUCCAUUUCAAAAAUAGGAAUGUUCUUGUGUAAUACCAGAGGACACAUAUCUACAUUAUUAAAUCACUCCAUCUGAGAGCUUAAUGAGUCUUGUGUUCCUGGACUUGCUAUUAUUAUAGGUCAGAAGGACAAUAAUAAAUAUUAUUUCCACAACAUUUCAUGCAACCAAAAUAAUGAAAUACCUAGUAAACAUUACCAGAACAAGCAUUGUUUGUGACAGAUGUACUCAUCCAUGGGAAAAAUAAAUGAUAAUAGCCCUUUGCAAAAAGGCAGUUCACAUCAUGCUGUGGUGCCUUGAGAAUAUGUCAGAGAGAGAGAGGAAGAGAGAGAGAAAGGGGAGAGAGAGAGAGAGAGAGGGGAGAGAGAGAGAGGGAGAGAGAGAGCAAGGGGAUAGAGAGAGGAAAAGAAAGAGAGGAGAGAGAGGAAGAGAGAGAGAUAGAGAAAGAGAUAAAGAGAGAGAGGAUAAUAGACAGAUGAAAUAUGGCUAUUUUUCCUGUUUGACAAACCCUACUCUAAACAAUUGCAGGAGGAAAGUGUGAGUAUCCCAGUUGAAGUUUGGACACAGAUUUAUGCCCCUAUCCCAGCCAGGGACAAUCACCCAACCAUCAUAUAUCACUAAUAUGCAGCAGCAAGACAUAGAGAUAUAUGCAUUAUAAUUGUAAAGCCAAAUUGGAACCACUCAUACAUGUUCCAUACAUUGCCGUAAUUACAAGAGUAUGUUUACAACUGGGGCAGAAGUAUGAGCUGUAUGCUGCUUGGAAUACAUGCUAUCAUCAAUAUACACAGAUGUUUGAUUUACUGCAUAUAGUACGUUCCCAGCAGAAUAUGUGGAGGAAACAUAUAUGUAUCUGAACUACAGGUAUUGGGAUGAAGACAACAAAAACCUUAACAGCUUCUUUGACCAAAAUGGAAACAUAUUGUUCAAAUGGUCUGUAAUAAGGAGAGCAAAUCUGUAUGGUAACAUAUCCUGUCAGGACUUUACUUGGCAGUGGCACACGAUCUCUGUGAUGUGUGUUAUGUAGUUCAGGAUAGAGGAGAAACCUGUAGGCCACCACCAUUAGAAGCAGCAUGUUAAUAAGCCAAUGCAUACCUGUUGUUUCCUCAGUUUGUUGUUGAAUAUGAAUGAUUUCAUUCUGAUGGUUUAUAAAGGUCUCAGUAAAAGUAGGGUUAAAGCCACCUUCUGUAAAUGUUGUUUUUGUCAUGAAAUGAAUUGCAUCAUCACAUGAGAGGGCAGGUCUGGUUGAGCACACAGAAUGAAUAGCAUCUGGGGAUGUUAUAGGGUGUUAUAGCAGUAGGAUGUUAUAGGGCCAGGUGUUAUAGGAGUAGGAUGUUAUAGCAGUAGGAUGUUAUAGCAGUAGGAUGUUAUAGGGUCAGGUGUUAUAGCAGUAGGAUGUUAUAGCAGUAGGAUGUUAUAGGGUCAGGUGUUAUAGCAGUAGGAUGUUAUAGGGCCAGGUGUUAUAGCAGUAGGAUGUUAUAGGGCCAGGUGUUAUAGGAGUAGGAUGUUAUAGGGUCAGGUGUUAUAGCAGUAGGAUGUUAUAGGGCCAGGGGUUAUAGCAGUAGGAUGUUAUAGCAGUAGGAUGGUAUAGCAGUAGGAUGUUAUAGGGUCAGGUGUUAUAGCAGUAGGAUGUUAUAGGGUCAGGUGUUAUAGCAGUAGGAUGUUAUAGUAGUAGGAUGUUAUAGGGUCAGGUGUUAUAGCAGUAGGAUGUUAUAGGGCCAGGUGUUAUAGGAGUAGGAUGUUAUAGGGCCAGGUGUUAUAGGAGUAGGAUGUUAUAGGGCCAGGUGUAAUAGGAGUAGGAUGUUAUAGGGUCAGGUGUUAUAGCAGUAGGAUGUUAUAGGGUCAGGUGUUAUAGGAGUAGGAUGUUAUAGGGUCAGGUGUUAUAGCAGUAGGAUGUUAUAGGGUCAGGUGUUAUAGGAGUAGGAUGUUAUAGCAGUAGGAUGUUAUAGGGCCAGGUGUUAUAGGAGUAGGAUGUUAUAGGGCCAGGUGUUAUAGCAGUAGGAUGUUAUAGGGUCAGGUGUUAUAGCAGUAGGAUGUUAUAGGGCCAGGUGUUAUAGGAGUAGGAUGUUAUAGCAGUAGGAUGUUAUAGCAGUAGGAUAUUAUAGCAGUAGGAUGUUAUAGCAGUAGGAUGUUAUAGGGUCAGGGGUUAUAGCAGUAGGAUGUUAUAGCAGUAGGAUGGUAUAGCAGUAGGAUGUUAUAGGGUCAGGUGUUAUAGCAGUAGGAUGUUAUAGGGUCAGGUGUUAUAGCAGUAGGAUGUUAAAGCAGUAGGAUGUUAUAGGGUCAGGUGUUAUAGCAGUAGGAUGUUAUAGGGUCAGGUGUUAUAGCAGUAGGAUGUUAUAGCAGUAGGAUGUUAUAGGGCCAGGUGUUAUAGGAGUAGGAUGUUAUAGGGCCAGGUAUUAUAGCAGUAGGAUGUUAUAGGGUCAGGUGUUAUAGCAGUAGGAUGUUAUAGCAGUAGGAUGUUAUAGGGCCAGGUGUUAUAGGAGUAGGAUGUUAUAGGGCCAGGUAUUAUAGCAGUAGGAUGUUAUAGGGUCAGGUGUUAUAGCAGUAGGAU